GCAUAAUUCCAAAUACUUGGAAUAAUCUUCUUCCUGCUCAGGUGCACAGGAGCCAGCAGUGCCUCUGGAAGAGGAA
rnacentral:lncRNA from 1 species